AUUGAACGCUGGCGGCAUGCUUUACACAUGCAAGUCGAACGGUAACAGGCCGCAAGGUGCUGACGAGUGGCGAACGGGUGAGUAAUGCAUCGGAACGUGCCCAGUCGUGGGGGAUAACUACUCGAAAGAGUAGCUAAUACCGCAUACGAUCUAUGGAUGAAAGCGGGGGACCGUAAGGCCUCGCGCGAUUGGAGCGGCCGAUGUCAGAUUAGGUAGUUGGUGGGGUAAAGGCUCACCAAGCCAACGAUCUGUAGCUGGUCUGAGAGGACGACCAGCCACACUGGGACUGAGACACGGCCCAGACUCCUACGGGAGGCAGCAGUGGGGAAUUUUGGGCAAUGGGCGCAAGCCUGAUCCAGCAAUGCCGCGGGCAGGAAGAAGGCCUUCGGGUUGUAAACUGCUUUUGUACGGAACGAAACGGCUCUGGUUAAUACCCGGGGCUAAUGACGGUACCGUAAGAAUAAGCACCGGCUAACUACGUG
rnacentral:rRNA from 1 species